UACGUAGGGUGCGAGCGUUGUCCGGAAUUAUUGGGCGUAAAGAGCUCGUAGGCGGUUUGUCGCGUCGGAUGUGAAAGCCCGGGGCUUAACUCCGGGUCUGCAUUCGAUACGGGCAGACUAGAGUGUGGUAGGGGAGAUCGGAAUUCCUGGUGUAGCGGUGAAAUGCGCAGAUAUCAGGAGGAACACCGGUGGCGAAGGCGGUGGUCUGGGCCGGUACUGACGCUGAGGAGCGAAAGCGUGGGGAGCGAACAGG
rnacentral:rRNA from 1 species